rnacentral:rRNA from 1 species
CCCUUAGAUGUUCUGGGCUGCACGCGUGCUACAAUGGCGUUUCCAGCAAGUCUGCGAACCCGAGAGGGCCAGCGGAUCUUCGAAUUGGCGUCGUGAUCGGGACAGUCGAUUGCAGUUAUUUGACUCAAACGAGGAAUUCCUUGUAAUCGCGAUUCAUCAUAUCGCGCUGAAUACGUCCCUGCCCUUUGUACACACCGCCCGUCGCUCCUACCGAUUGAGCGAUCCGGUAAAUGUUUUGGAUUGGUGCCGGGGCGGCUAGCUGCCGGUCGCUACGAAAUUUUGUGAACCUUAUCGCUUAGAGGAAGGAAAAGUCGUAACA